GACGAACGCUGGCGGCGUGCUUAACACAUGCAAGUCGAACGGAAAGGCCCUGCUUUUGUGGGGUGCUCGAGUGGCGAACGGGUGAGUAACACGUGAGUAACCUGCUCUUGACUUUGGGAUAACUUCAGGAAACUGGGGCUAAUACCGGAUAGGAGCUCCUGCUGCAUGGUGGGGGUUGGAAAGUUUCGGCGGUUGGGGAUGGACUCGCGGCUUAUCAGCUUGUUGGUGGGGUAGUGGCUUACCAAGGCUUUGACGGGUAGCCGGCCUGAGAGGGUGACCGGCCACAUUGGGACUGAGAUACGGCCCAGACUCCUACGGGAGGCAGCAGUGGGGAAUAUUGCACAAUGGGCGGAAGCCUGAUGAAGCAGCGCCGCGUGCGGGAUGACGGCCUUCGGGUUGUAAACCGCUUUCGCCUGUGACGAAGCGUGAGUGACGGUAAUGGGUAAAGAAGCACCGGCUAACUACGUG
rnacentral:rRNA from 1 species